AGCGAACGCUGGCGGCAGGCCUAACACAUGCAAGUCGAGCGCCCCGCAAGGGGAGCGGCAGACGGGAGAGUAACACGUGGGAACGUACCCUUUGGUUCGGAACAACCCAGGGAAACUUGGGCUAAUACCGGAUAAGCCCUUACGGGGAAAGAUUCAUCGCCGAAGGAUCGGCCCGCGUCUGAUUAGCUAGUUGGUGGGGUAACGGCCCACCAAGGCGACGAUCAGUAGCUGGUCUGAGAGGAUGAUCAGCCUCACUGGGACUGGGACACGGCCCAGACUCCUACGGGAGGGAGCAGUGGGGAAUAUUGGACAAUGGGCGCAAGCCUGAUCCAGCCAUGCCGCGUGGGUGAUGAAGGCCCUAGGGUUGUAAAGCCCUUUCGGCGGGGAAGAUAAUGACGGUACCCGCAGAAGAAGCCCCGGCUAACUUCGUGCCAGCAGCCGCCGUAA
rnacentral:rRNA from 1 species